rnacentral:ncRNA from 1 species
CCAAAGACGAAGAACAAGACAAGCCGCUUUGAGGCGUUUCAGAGACUUUCCGGAGGGUGCGAGGAAAGACACAAUCAAAGGGGAUAUCACUUGGGAGUCGCGUUUCCGAUAUGUAGGGGACGCCGGUCACACCGUUAUCGUGUCGAGGUGCGGUCCGUUUGGACCGAACUAAGGUGGUACCGCGUUAUUUACGUCCUUAGC